ensembl:lncRNA
CCCAUUUUGGCUUAUGGCGUAUCUACCUAGUUGCCAUAGCAAAGGACUGGGAAAUCAUCCUAGAUUCUUCCUUUAUGCCAUCAUUAAGACGGACAUCAGAUCCUAUUUGUUCUACCUUCUGAAAUCUGUUGCUACCUUAGCUCAUUUCUUGUUUGGACUGGAGCAGAUUUCUCCAUAGUUGUCUCAUCUCCAGGGUCGCAUUCGCUCGGUUCAUUCUGCACUCUGAACCUGACCAGGAGCAGUGGCUGCGCGGGCGCAGGAGGGCCGAGAGGAGCUACUCCACAUUCAAGGUCAGGAGGGGCGGCUGUAGGGAGAUACCCCUCGUCCAAGGUAAGGAGCAGUGGCUGCACUUUGCUGGAGCAGCCAUGAAGAGAUACCCCACGUACAAGGUAAGAGAAACCCAAGUAAGACGGUAGGUGUUGCGAGAGGCAUCAGAGGGCAGACACACAAACCAUAAUCACAGAAAACUAGUCAGUCUAAUCACACGGACCACAGCCUUCUCUAACUCAAAGAAACUAAGCCAUGCCGUGUGGGGCCACCCAAGACAGGCAAGUCAUGGUGGAGAGGUCUGACAGAGUGUGGUCCACUGGAGAAGGGAAUGGCAAACCACUUCAGUAUUCUUGCCUUGAGAACCCCAUGAACAGUAGGAAAAGGUAAAAUGGUAGGAUACCAAAAGAGGAACUCCCCAGGUCAGUAGGUGCCCAAUAUGCUACUGGAGAUCAAUGGAGAAAUAACUCCAGAAAGAAUGAAGGGAAGGAGCUAAAGCAAAAACAAUACCCAGUUGUGGAUGUGACUGGUGAUAGAAGCAAGGUCCAAUGCUGUAAAGAGCAAUAUUGCAUAGGAACCUGGAAUGUCAGGUCCAUGAAUCAAGGCAAAUUGGAAGUGGUCAAACAGGAGAUGGCAAGAGUGAACGUCGAUAUUCUAGGAAUCAGCAAACUAAAAUGGACUGGAAUGGGUGAAUUUAACUCAGAUGACCAGUAUAUCUACUAAUGCGGGCAGGAAUCCCUUAGAAGAAAUGGAGUAGCCAUCAUGGUCAACAAAAGAGUCCGAAAUGCAGUAUUUGGAUGCAAUCUCAAAAACGACAGGAUGAUCUCUGUUUGUUUCCAAGGCAAACCAUGCAAUAUCACAGUAAUCCAAGUCUAUGCCCCACCUUCACAGUAACGCUGAAGAAGCUGAAGUUGAACGGUUCUAUGAAGACCUCUAAGACCUUUUAGAACUAACACCCAAAAAAGAUGUCCUUUUCAUUAUAGGGGACUGGAAUGCAAAAGUAGGAAGUCAAGAAACACCUGGAGUAACAGGCAAAUUUGGCCUUGGAAUGCGGAAUGAAGUAGGACAAAGGCUAAUAGAGUUUUGCCAAGAGAAUGCACUGGUCAUAGCAAACACCCUCUUCCAACAACACAGGAGAAGAACUACACAUGGACAUCACCAGAUGGUCAACACCGAAAUCAGAUUGAUUAUAAUCUUUGCAGCCACAGAUGGAGAAGCUCUAUACAGUCAACAAAAACAAGACUGGGAGCUGACUGUGGCUCAGAUCAUGAACUCCUUAUUGCCAAAUUCAGACUUAAAUUGAAGAAAGUAGGGGAAACCACUAGACCAUUCAGGUAUGACCUAAAUCAAAUUCCUUAUGAUUAUACAGUAGAAAUGAGAAAUAGAUUUAAGGGACUAGAUCUGAUAGAGUGCCUGAUGAACUAUGGACUGAGGUUCAUGGCAUUGUACAGGAGACAGGGAUCAAGACCAUCCCCAUGGAAAAGAAAUGCAAAAAAGCAAAAUGGCUGUCUGGGGAGGACUUACAAUUAACUGUGAAGAGAAGAGAAAAGCAAAGGAAAAAAGGAAAGAUAUAAGCAUCUGAAUGCAGAGUUCCAAAGGACAGCAAGGAGAGAUAAGAAAGCCUUCCUCAGCGAUCAAUGCAAAGAAAUAGAGGAAAACAACAAAAUGAGAAAGACUAGAGAUCUCUUCAAGAAAAUUAGAGAUACCAAGAGAACAUUUGAUGCAAAGAUGGGCUCAAUAAAGGACAGAAAUGGCAUGGACCUAACAGAAGCAGAAGAUAUUAAGAAGAGGUGGUAAGAAUACACAGAAGAACUGUACAAAAAAGAUCUUCAUGACCCAGAUAAUCACGAUGGUAUGAUCACUCACCUAAGAGCCAGGCAUCCUGGAAUGUGAAGUCAAGCGGGUCUUGGAAAGCAUCACUACGAACAAAGCUAGUGGAGGUGACGGAACUCCAGUCGAGCUAUUUCAAAUCCUGAAAACAUGAUGCUGCGAAAGUGCUACACUCAAAUCUGGAAAACUCAGCAGUGGCCACAGGACUGGAAAAGGUCAGUUUUCAUUCCAAUCCCAAAGAAAGGCAAUGCCAAAGAAUGCUCAAACUACCGCACAACUGCGCUCAUCUCACAUGCUAGUAAAGUAAUGCUCAAAAUUCUCCAAGCCAGGCUUCAGCAAUACGUGAACCGUGAACUCCGUGAUGUUCAAGCUGGUUUUAGAAAAGGCAGAGGAACCAGAGAUCAAAUUGCCAACAUCCGCUAGAUCAUGGAAAAAGCAAGAGAAUUCCAGAAAAACAUCUAUUUCUGCUUUCUUGACUAUGCCAAAGCCUUUGACUGUGUGGAUCACAAUCAACUGUGGAAAAUCCUGAAAGAGAUGGGAAUACCAGACCACCUAGCCUGCCUCUUGAGAAACCUGUAUGCAGGUCAGGAAGAACUGACUGUUCUUAGCAAGUUAGAACUGGACAUGGAACAACAGACUGAUUCCAAACAGGAAAAGGAGUACGUCAAGGCUGUCUAUUGUCACCCUGCUUAUUUAACUUCUAUGCAGAGUACAUCAUGAGAAACGCUGGACUGGAAGAAACACAAGCUGGAAUCAAGAUUGCAGGGAGAAAUAUCAAUAACCUCAGAUAUGCAGAUGACACCACCCUUAUGGCAGAAAGUGAAGAGGAACUAAAAAGCCUCUUGAUGAAAGUGAAAGAAGAGAGUGAAAAAGUUGGCUUAACGCUCAACAUUCAGAAAACGAAGAUCAUGGCAUCCAGUCCCAUCACUCCAUGGGAAAUAGAUGGGGAAACAGUGGAAACAGUGGCAGACUUUAUUUUGAGGGGCUCCAAAACCACUGUAGAUGGUGAUUGCAGCCAUGAAAUUAAAUGAUACUUACUCCUUGGAAGGAAAGUUAUGACCAACCUAGACAGCAUAUUGAAAAGCAGAGACAUUACUUUGCCAACAAAGGUCCAUCAACAAAGGUCAAGGCUAUGGUUUUUCCUGUGGUCAUGUAUGGAUGUGAGAGUUGGACCGUGAAGAAGGCUGAGCGCCGAAGAAUUGAUGCGUUUGAACUGUGGUGUUGGAGAAGACUCUUGAGAGUCCCUUGGACUGCAAGGAGAUCCAGCCAGUCCAUUCUGAAGGAGAUCAGCCCUGGGAUUUCUUUGGAAGGACUGAUGCUAAAGCUAAAACUCCAAUACUUUGGCCACCUCAUGUGAAGAGUUGUCUCAUUGGAAAAGACUGAUGCUGGGAGAGAUUGGGGGCAGGAAGAGAAGGGGAUGACAGAGGAUGAGAUGGCUGGAUGACAUCACUGAUUCAAUGGACAUGAGUUUGGGUGAACUCCGGGAGGUGGUGAUGGACAGGGAGGUCUGGCGUGCCGGAAUUCAUGGGGUCACAAAGAGUCGGACACGACUGAGUUUCUGAACUUAACUGAUAAAAACAAAGGUCAUGGAUACUCAAGACCCGUCACUUCCUCAUUAUUUUACUACCUGUUAUUAUUAUUGAUGGCCUUGAGGUCACUUACAUUUAUUUUCUCUGUAGGGUAGAGAAGGCAAUGGCACCCUACUCCAGCACUCUUGCUUGGAAAAUCCCAUGGAUAGAGGAACCUGGUGGGCUGCAGUCCAUGGGGUCACUAAGAGUCGGACACAACUGAGCAAAUUCACUUUCAGUUUCACGCAUUGGAGAAGGAAAUGGCAACCCACCCCAGUGUUCUUGCCUGGAGAAUCCCAGGGACGGGGGAGCCUGGUCGGCUGAUGUCUAUGGGGUCGCACAGAGUUGGACACGACUGAAGCAAUUUAGCAGCAGCAGUAGCAGCAGGGUAGAAAUAUUAUGUCCUGGGUGCUCCUGUAUCUCUCUUCCCAACUCUUCGUUCAGGGAAACUUGGGUAGCUUGAAAUCUGCUCUGGUGAGAGUGUUUAUUCUCUCACCGUGGAAAUCGGCAAACAAUACAAAUGAAUACCGCCCCCCCUACCUCCCACCCUCAGGGCUCAUCAUUAAAUAUUUUGCAGAGCACUGCAGGGCAUCCCCCACUGUACACAUCUCUCCCCAUCCUGGUUCACGUGGCUCGAGUCAUGUGAGCACCUGUUCCAACCCCAGCAGUGGAGACAUGCUCCAGACAGUGAGUGACAGUGUCCCCUCUGGGGUACCUGCAUUAGCAGGAUGUAAGUUAGUAGCUGGUGACCAACAGCGUCUUUGUCAUCACAAACACAGAGACUGCUGGGGGAGGAAGUACAGAAGAAAGCAGAAUGGAAAGACAGAAGUG